AAACACCGCCUUUGACGAAAAUUCAGCUUCUGCCGCAUAAACGUCUGGGGGUGCCACUCUGCUAUGGGAGUUGAAUCAGAAAACCAAAAUUCAAUGUGAUGACGACUAGGGGUAGUGUGUUUCUAAUCUGGGAAGAAUUUUGUGUAGAAUCAUUUCGUGUUGAUGUUGGAAUCUGUGCCGUUCUUCCAUUGUAAUGAUGUGUCAUUCCUGCAGAUCGUUUCAAGGUGCCGCCUUCUAGCGACACUGAGGAUGCUCUCAAGUCACUAGGAAGCGGAGUACAGAAAGUGAAGGAAUUGGCGCCGACGAUAACACCUGGAAGUCGCGAAAAUGUUGAGAGAAUGGAAGAAGCGGUGAGUGGAAUAUCACGCAAGGUGAAAGGUGAGCAGUUGUUACCAACUUGCUUCAGCAAAUGUUAUGUACGAGUGCGGGUGUGGCGGUAUAUCUUAGGUGUGAUGGAUUUGGAAGUUCGCGAUCAGAUGUCUGCAUUCGCUGACGCAUUGUUGAAAUCCAACUCAUACUUUUACUACCCGAAAUGUUGAGUUGGUUGUUUUUCAUUCACCAGAUGACGACGAUUCAUUUUAUGAUGAGGUUGGGGAUAUGGAAACUCUUAAGCCGGGUGAAGUGGUUCGAACUGAACCCAGCGAGAAUCUUACGAUAGUGAGUGGUCAUUGGUGAUUUGUUUCUGGUUUCAAUGCGUGGCUAUUUGAAUAGUUUUUAGUGUAAAAAAUGUGGAAUGACCUGUUCUCGUAAAACAUGUGCUUCUUAUCGUGCUGUGUGGAGUAUGCAAUGAUUUUUCAUAGAGAGCUCAGUUGUGAAUAAAAGAUAAAAUUGAGCUUGAUGAAAUCAGUUUUUGAGAGCUUUUGCACGUUGUCAAUGCCCUGACAGGAUUUUCGGGAUGGCACAUGUGCAGACGAGAUACCACCUGCUCCUUUACCGAAGCUCUCUGCAAGCAAUGGUCCAGAGGAUGAUUCGUGGAAGAACAGGCGGUCCUGUCAGCCGCGUUCCUCGGACUUUGGUGCCAUGGAAUACAGUGUGGUAAGCGGGCUGUGUUUAUGCUUUGUAUGAGGAUUUUGAAUACAAAAUAGUCAUAUGGACAUCUAAGCACGAAUUGAUGCCAUCUUUGUCCUUGACAUGUGCAGCGUGCAGAAGAUUGCUUUGACUCCCAAUACCCCAAAGAUCUGGCAGAGGUACCCGAGUGCUAUCCCAGUCCUAAUACUCUCAUGCAAACUGAAGACCAAUUUCAAGGUAUGUCUUUGUUUGGUGCUUUUAUGAAUGAUGCAGUUGUGGUAGUGGGAUAAAGUGGAGGUGUGAUUAUGAAGUGAUAGUGACUUGCAGAUGGCUUAGUUGGUAUUCAAGGGAAGGAUUCUGAAUUAGAAUGGAUAGGCUGGUGUUUGAUCGUUGAUGCAUUGUUGAGCAUGGAAUUUAUGCGUUUGGUACUUGAAAUAUUGCGUCGGUUGGUUAGUAUUCAACAGGUGGCCCGUCCGGUGAGGAAUUGGACAAUAUAGUAGUGUCACAGGAGAACCCUGCUGGAGGUUGUCAGGCGUGGAACACGAGUACUUGUACCUUUAUUCAAGCGGACGACCCAUUUCAAGACAUUCCUGGUUUCGGAGAUCCUCUGAUGGUAAAUGGUCAUUGGCGAUUAAUUGCCUGCUUGUUUGCCUGGAUUUCAAAGAGUUUGUGGUGAGAAAAGUGUGGCAAGUGGGCUGUGCUUAUACCUUGCAUGAGCAUAAGAAUUACAUAAUCACCAGUUUUGGUCUCCUAUGCACGAGAUGUUGCCAACGUUGGCCUUGGUGUGUGCAGCAUCCACAAGAUGACCAAUUAAGCGCUCUUUGGGAGAAUUAUUUUAGCACUUGGCUUACCUGAUUAUGUUGGAAGCGGGAAUAGGAUCCAGUCCUGUCUUCUAUUACCUUUUAGCGAUAGUCGUCUGUGCGUCAUAAAUUGGAGAGUCAGAAAGAGACACAGUUCGUCUGACAAGUUGAGUCUUUACGUCUAUUUUGAACGAUAGUUAGUGUGAUCUUCCAUGGCAACUGGUUCUCUUUUAGAGACUUUUAAGCUUGAUGGAACAAACUAUCAGACUUGGAAGGUCUGAAUAAAAUUACUUUUAAUGAAAGAGGAAACAUGGAGAUAUGUGGAUCCUCACCGAGGGAAUCCUCCCCAGCUUGGAGAAGCUCCUAAUGUAGCUGUUGAACGAGUCAAGGGUCUUCAUUCCAUCUUUAUUUCAGUAAAAGAAAACGUGUUUUCUAGUGUUCCCAAGUGCAUUGAUCCCAUCGUAGCCUGGACUCUGCUUGCUCAGCUUAACUAGCAGCAUAGCAAUGCAAGCAAAUUGAUACUCAAAGAUAAGCUUUGCUUCAUGCUUUUACCAGAGGGAGCAUGAGUUUGAGAGUUUGUUCGCCAUAUUCAAGAAAUCCAGUUUGAGCUCAGAGGACUCGGUGACCCAGUUCUUGAUGUUGAGCUAGUAGAUCGUAUUGUCAAUACGCUCCCCCCCAAUAUGGAUAGCGUGUACCAAAACAUCCUUGGACUGCAUACCAUGCCAUCCUUCGCUAAUCUGGUUGCUCAUCUUCUGCAAGCUGAAACCCGCGCACAACUUCGUGGCACGACCACCACCAAGGAGGAUGCACUCGCCGUCCACAUGCAAAAUCUAUCUCUUCCUGCCGACGGACAUCACGCAGAACACCAUGCCAACACCAACCACCGACGUUCCAACAAUCCAGGAGGCAGACGUCACAAAAAUCUUCAAUGUAACUUCUGCAAAGAAGGCAACCACCUCAUGCGCACCUGUUCUGAGCUGGCCUGCGAAAUAGCCAAAAGUGCUCGGGAUCAUCGUAACCGUGGUAGAUGAGGUGGCAGGGGGUUCCAAAAUCACUGAUCGAAAUUCGACUUGAAUCUGAUGAUCAAGAAAUACAGUGACUCUACCCCAACGACACAAUCAGAUUGAAUCAAAUUUAUUUGACGUCGAUCUUUGUAGCAUGGAUCUAGAACAAGCAGACAAGUGCAUAGUUGAUAGUGGUGCUGCUAAGCAUGUUUCUCGUAGUCGCGAGGUGUUUGCUACCUUAAUUCGAGGCACUGGGACUCAGGCCAUGCAAUCAGCAUCUAUCCAUGUCUUGCCAGUAGAAGAGACCGGCAUUUGUACACCUCUCAAAUUCAAGUGAAAUAAUCAUGUAUAAUUUAUUUUUUUAUAUUUAUUUUUUGUUUGUUUGUUUGUUAAUAUAUAUAUAUAUAUAUAUAUAUAUAUAUUUUAUCUUCUUCUCCUAAUUGAAUGUAGGCUUAUUUUAAAAAUUCUUCAUAUAUGAGUCUAAGAUUAUUUUUGCACCAUCUUUGGUUUUAUCUUUUUAUACAAACAUUUAUUAAAAUUCAUGGUUAUAAAAAAAAAACAAAACCCUGAUUUAGAUCACAAGAACUUUGAUAAGUCUUUUAUCUAAAAAUAGUAAUUAAACUGUGUAAAAAAUUAUUCUUCUUUUGCAAUAAUCAUUAAUACACAUAAUAGUAUGAUUCUUAUGAAAAAAUAAUUAAAAUGAUAUUUUAAGAAAAUCAUUUUUCGAAAAUAUUUAAAUCAAAAAUUAAACUUAUUAUGUUUAUAGAUUUAGAUAUUUAUAAUUGAAUAGUUUUUUCUUCAUUUCUUUUGGAUUUUUUACAUACCUGAAUGUAAAUUAUAUUUUAGUCAAGUAGUAUCUUAUUUUAAAAUAAAUUCUUAAGAAAUCUUUAAAAAAUAUUAUUUGUAAGUGUUUUAAAAAUUAUUAUAAGGUAUUAAUGAAAAUUUGUCAAAAUUUAAAGUAUUUUUUUCUCUUUAAUGAUAUUAAUUAAUUUAUUUAUUUUUAUUUUAUCUAUUAUUUAAUUUAACAUACUCAUAAAAAUAUUUAAUUAGAUUAUAAUGCUAUUUAUAAAACUCUUAUUCUAAAAAAAAUUCAAACUAUAAGAUUCUUCUAAAAAAAUAUUAUAUAUAGUACCAAUUUUUUUUUUACUAACAACAAAAUUUAACUAUGAAAUCUAUUCAUUUACUUACAUUCUUAACUAGUUUAUAUAAAAUUAAACUAAUUCUUAUUUGCAUGUUAGAGACAUUGAGUUAUCACAUUGAUAUUUGAUUCUUAUAUUUUAAUCUUUUAUCUUAUGCCAACUUAGAUUUUAAUAUUUUUUUUUGAUAUUUUUUAAAAAAUAACUACUUUAAUUAUUUAUUUUAAACUUCAAAUGUUUGUUUCUUAAAUCUAAAACAUCUUCUAUAGUGUUCCAAAGAAUCUUUAUAUACUUUUAAGACAUCAUGGAAAAUUUUCAUUGCAAGUUUAUAUUGAGAUUGUGUUUUAAUUACAUAGUAGAAUAGUACAAAAUUAUAUUACAAAUCUAACAAGAAUAUCCUUUGAUUAAUAUAUCCUAAGAAGAUGAAAUUUUAGGAAUACACAAUAAUAAACCAAGAAAAUUUUGCACAUUUAAAGUGUUUUGAGGAUUAGCUAUUGGAAACAUUUAGUAGAAUUAGAAUUUUUUGAUAUUACUUUAUAGAAAUAAAAGGAAAUAUCAUUGUUUAUUACCAUAAUACAAUAGGGUUUGUGAUACAAUCUUAAAAGUAUUUUUAAUUCGUUUGAUUCUAUUAUUUAUAUUUUCUAUUUAUUUGUUUAACUUUCUAAAAAUUAAAUACUUUUUCCUUAUUAUAGUAGUCAUACAAAUUUUCUUAAUAGUUCUUCAUAGUGCUUAGUAGGCAUCCAAAUCCUUAGCCUUUAUAUAAAUAUUUACAAAAACAUCUAUUUUUAUAAUAGCUGUCCAGCAUGUCCGAAAAAAUUGCUCUAAAUCAUCCAAAUAAUGUACUGAAUUUUAACUACAUCUAAUUAAAUAUUUAUUUUUAUAUUUAAUAUUUACGAAUAUUGAGUUAAUUUUUAUCAUUCAUUCUAUAAAAAAAAUCGAAAAAUGUUAACAUUUUCUUGCUAUUUCAACAUAUACUUAUCAAUUUUUAUUUACAGUUCCAAAUUCUGUGACCUUUUUGUGGUACUUUCAAAGCAAUUUAUUGCACGCAAUCCAAUUUUACAUUCUUGAUUACCAAAACAAUGUAAGUGUUUAAUAUCAUUUCACAUGCUACCUUAUUUGAUUAAAUUCAAAAUUAAUUUAGUAGCACAUUUUGAAACUUUGGGUAUAUACCAGAGACCUGAUGCAAAACAAAACUAAUAUACCAAACUCUCUUGCACAUGCAGUCUAUUUAAAAUUCAGGAAAAGAUACUCAAGGAACCCCCACCCAUCCUUGGCUCUAUGCCCCAGCAGUGAAGGAUAGCAUUGCAGACCAGGAACGGGUCUUCAUUCGGGCAGCAGAUAUUAACCUACAAGAAUUUUACUGUGAGUGUGGAUUCAGUAUUGGUGAUUCCAAUAUUCCCCCAAGCACAAUGCGGAGCCUCACUUUUGUCGGCAUGUGUCUAGGUUUGCAUUUCUCUUUGUUUUUGCAAUUUUUCGACGACACUCGCAAGGUUCGAUUUUUGGUGCUCCGUGUCGAUGCUAACGCCAACUCAUGUCAAUUUUGAAGCGUAUGCUUUCAAGAGUUCAGUAGCGUCGAGCUGUGCUGCUGUUCGGAGGUUGCGGUGACUGUGUCGAGGUGCAGAGUCGCUAGGUAAUGUUGAGACUGAGAUAUGAAUAACCCUGAACAGAAUGUGCGUGCGCUCAAACGCUGUUGUGUGCGCUUCAAGGUUCCUGAUUUCAUAGAGACUAAGUUGUAUUCCAGAAAAGUCUGUAAGACAGACGUCGACCUGGAGUUGUUUAAAGACAAUGUGAAGAUUGUUGAAGACCAGUGCAGACGACUCGUAGGAGGUCGGAGGAACUACUCUCUGAAUCAUCCGUGUUGCUAUCUUGAAUGCGAAUUACCUGAUACUUUGUUUGCGGAGAACAACGGGGAGAUAGGACUCGAUGAAUCAGUGUUGCUGGAACAUAUACACCGAGAAACGAAAAAGGCAAUAAAAUCCCACCGAAAACUUCCGGGGAAUAAAUGUGUGCGCACAGCAUCGACACGGCCAUUGGAAUUCCACCGACAACAUCCGGUGAGCUUCAGGACGCUCUCUCAAUACGUUGAGUUUUCUGUUUCAAUCGUGGAAUCAGACCUAGCUACUCGUUCAGGAUGAUCGGCGGAAUGAAGUGCUGCGUACGUUGGUCAUUUAGAUAAUCCAAUUUCUCAAUCCGAGCAAGUCAUGUUCAUCACUUCUAUUCUUACCCAACUGUUCAGCUACAACAUACCAUGUCUUGUCGCUUCUUAGGACCAGGUUGCGGAGCCUAAGCGUUCGUCACAUGACGCCACUCCGUCAAGGAAUGAUGCCUCGCAGAAGGGCCCGGUCGCUGGUAAGUCAUCAUCUCAUUGUGCGUCUUGUUCUAGUGGAAUCGUGGUUUGUUGUUUGACGAGAAAUCGGGUUGUGUCGCAUAAAACGUCUCUCGAUGCGACUCUGCAACGCGAGUUGCGUCAGAAAACAAAAAAUCUACUCGGAGACGAUGUGGGGUUGUGUGUUUUUUAUAACCCGGUGAAAGUUUUAGGUGGAAUCAUUCCGAAGUGAUGUCAAUAACUGUGCCGUCCUUGCAGAAUGUUCCGAGGUGUCGCCUCCUAGCCGUGGUAAGGGUGCUGACGAUUUUCGAAAGGCUGUGGUUUAUCUGAAGGAGUAUUCGGAUGAACCUGCAUUUCGCAACAAACUUGCGGUAUGCGAAGAAGAGUACAAUGCAAUGGAACGCAAGCUGGAAGGUACACAUUUAUUACGCAUUUGGGGAUGUGGCGGUAUUUCUUGGUUGUGGUGGGAUUGAGAGCAAUCCAACGUGUGUAGUCGCAGCGCUUUCGCUGCAUAGACGCCGCUUUUGACGACGAUUCAGCCUCUGCCGUAUAAACAUCAGGGGACGCCACUCUGCAGUGCGAGUUGUAUCAGAGACACAAUAUUAUAUUCGAAGACGUCUUGGGGUUGUAUCUUGUCUAAGUUGGCGAGAUUUUUAUGUUAAAAGCAUUCAGAGGUGAUGUAAGAAACUAUUUCGUCCUUUCAUUAUGAUGUUCAGUCAUUCCUGCGGAGCGUUUUGAGAAGCCGCCUCCAAGCUGUAGUCAGGAUCAUCACAAGUUUCGAGGAGCUAUGAAUGAACUGAAGGAUAUGGUUGGUGGAAAUGUAUAUCGAUAUGUACUCGAUGCAUGCGAAAAAGCGUAUUAUGCAAAAGCACGCGAGGUGGAAGGUGAGCAGUUGUUACGAACUUGCUUUAGAAAAUAAAGUUAUACAUGUGGAGGUGUGGCGGUAUUUCUAAGUUGUGUUGGCUUGAGAGUUCGCGAUCCAGUGUAUGUAGUCGCAGCGCUUUCGCUGCGCAAACACCGCCUUUGACGAAAAUUCAGCUUCUGCCGCAUAAACGUCUGGGGGUGCCACUCUGCUAUGGGAGUUGAAUCAGAAAACCAAAAUUCAAUGUGAUGACGACUAGGGGUAGUGUGUUUCUAAUCUGGGAAGAAUUUUGUGUAGAAUCAUUUCGUGUUGAUGUUGGAAUCUGUGCCGUUCUUCCAUUGUAAUGAUGUGUCAUUCCUGCAGAUCGUUUCAAGGUGCCGCCUUCUAGCGACACUGAGGAUGCUCUCAAGUCACUAGGAAGCGGAGUACAGAAAGUGAAGGAAUUGGCGCCGACGAUAACACCUGGAAGUCGCGAAAAUGUUGAGAGAAUGGAAGAAGCGGUGAGUGGAAUAUCACGCAAGGUGAAAGGUGAGCAGUUGUUACCAACUUGCUUCAGCAAAUGUUAUGUACGAGUGCGGGUGUGGCGGUAUAUCUUAGGUGUGAUGGAUUUG
rnacentral:lncRNA from 1 species